rnacentral:lncRNA from 1 species
ACCCGACAGUCCGGAAUAGUCUAUACACUACUGUGAAAAUAAACUCGGCAUCUCAGCACGAGCGUAAUUUCAUUUUACACUAUUCUGGGUAUCCACCGCCUACAAACUGCGGCGAUACAAACAAACUACAGCUCCUAAAACUAAAUCUGGUAGUUUGUAGAAAACGACAGUGUAGAAUCUAUAGUUUUCUCCUAAGUCAAUUCCAAGUUCAACAUGUAUAAUUUAACUAACAUUUUAGCUCCAAUUCAGAUUUCAUUCAAGAACAAAUGCAAAUCAACGAAUUGAGCUACUAAACAUGCUAUACG